rnacentral:lncRNA from 1 species
ACCCACUUUAGCACCCAGACAUAUUCUACUCAGUCACCGACGACAUGCCUUAAGCCACGAACCACCGCGCUUAGCUACGAACCACCACACGCUAGCUACGAACCACCGCCUGAAUCACUGCGCGAACAAGGGGUGUUCGAUCCCGUUCAGGGAGACGACCACCGGACCAUCAAAGGUCAUCGUGCAACGCCAUUUCUCUCCCUCUCGAACCCCGACGCCUCCGCCAAAGGGCGCAAUAACCACCGCUCCAACCACGAACCGUCGCGCUUGGGUUUUGAUCUUGAUCCUUAAUGUCGAACCAGGUCACGGCCAACCACGUCAUCAUUGUAGGCAUUACCAGCGACGGAGAUGGACGAGCGGCAGCGGAUGGCUUGCGAUUCCGCUAAUGGGGUCAUAGGGUGUUAACACCGUUAAUGGCGUUG